AUGGACCCUGGCAUGGCAUAUAUAUACGAUGAUGCAGAAAUAGGGGGUUCCAAUAGGCUUAUGGGAUGUAGCCUAAUUGCCCAAAUACCAUGUGAAUCGAAAGUGGGGAUGGAUGGAGGUUGCAAUAAGCCUAUAUUAACAUGGCAAAAGCUGGACUACAGGCGAUUCACCGUACACCAGACGGUGCCGUUAACUGAAGGAUGUCACGGGUUGAAAAUUUGUAAAGUAUGUAAGAUUGAAAGUCUGGUUUUGUUGUCACAGGAAGACAUUGAUAUCAUGCAGGACCUAAAUUUUGAUAUCUAUAGGUUCUCAAUAUCAUGGUCAAGAAUCUUCCCAGAUGGAAUUGGGAAAGUGAAUUGGAAAGGAGUUGCAUAUUACAACCGGUUAAUCAAUUACUCGCUCGAAAGAGGCAUUACCCAUUAUGCAAAUUUGCAUCACUAUGAUCUUCCCCUAGCACUUGAGCAAGAGUACCUAGGAUUCUUAAGUGGCAGAGUGGUGAAGGAUUUCGCGGAAUUUUGCUUCAAGACAUAUGGAGACAGAGCCAAGAACUGGACAACAUUCAAUGAGCCUAGAGUGGUGGCUGCUCUUGGCUAUGACAAUGCACUGAAUCCUCCGGCACGGUGCUCCAAAGCAGGCAAAGCUUAUGGAAAUUGCACGGCUGGGAAUUCAGAGAUACCGCGAAAAGUAUCAGAAAACACAAAAAGGAAGUAUUGGUAUUCUCUUGGACUUCAACUGGUAUGAACCUCUUACCAGUUCAAAGGAUGACAGAGAUGCAGCUCAAAGGGCAAGAGACUUUCAUAUUGGAUGGUUCAUUCAUCCGAUUGUAUAUGGGGAGCAUCCAAAAACAAUGCAACAUAUUGUUGGCGAUAGGCUACCAAAGUUUACGAAAAAGGAGGUUAAGAUGGUGAAGGGGUCAAUAGAUUUUGUAGACAUCAACCAGUAUACUACUUAUUACAUGUAUGAUCCACAUCAAAACAAAACAAAACCAAAUGCCUUGGGAUACCAAAAUGACUGGAAUGCCGGAUUUUCUUAUGAGAAGAAUGGAGUGCUUAUCAGUCCUCUGGCAUAUUCUUCUUGGCUCUACCAAGUACCAUGGGGUUUGUACAAGUGUGUAACGUACAUAAAAAAGCACUAUGAGAACCCAACUGUGAUUAUAUCUGAAAACAGCAUGGAUAACCCGGGAAACCAGACGCUCCAAGAGGCAUUGCAUGACACCAAUAGGAUCGGCUUCUACAAAAGCUAUCUGGAGCAACUGAAGAAGGCAGUUGAUGAGGGCGCCAAUGUGGUAGGCUAUUUUGCCUGGUCAUUGCUGGACAACUUUGAACGGAGAUUGGGUUACACUUCAAAGUUUGGCAUAGUCUAUGUUGACUUCACCACCCUAAAGAGAUAUCCAAAGAUGUCUGCCUAUUGGUUCAAGAAACUGCUUACCAAAAAGAAGCAUUAGAUAGAUUUCAUGUCAAGCAUUAGUGUUUGAGGAGCUCAUAACACCGGCCAAGUAAUAACAUGUGUUCUUGCCGAUCAACAAUAUAUAUUGACU